UAUAGCAUAAUGCAUCUUCUCUGUCUGCGUUUUUGGGGUUCAGGUCUUAAAACAGCACGUACUGCUUCAUCAAACACUUGUUUUAGACCACGUUGUUUCCAACAAGUAUCAUUGGGGCAUCUGGGCAGUGAUGUUUUAUCUCUGGAUACCAUUUGCUGGUAACAUUUUCAAAAGAUGAAGGGCUUGUUACUGAGAAACAAAUUAGAAAAACAUCAGUCUGUGGAUAUGAAAGUGGACGGAGCCUGUCAUAAUCUUCUUGACCUGCUGUAUCCCAAAGCCCUAGACUAACAGGUAUUCCAUCCACAACCAUAGGUGCUGAAUAAUUGUCAAACCUAUAAAAAAUGAUAACUUAUGUUUAAAAAAUUGUAAAUUAAAUAUUAAAUGAAAUAUUUUACAAGUUCUGAAAAGAUUUUAGAAUUUAAAGAAUUAUAAUGCAGAAUAAAUUAUUUCUUGUAAACAAUAAAAAAAUAUCCAAAAUUGU